rnacentral:rRNA from 1 species
UGGAAACAGAUGCUAAUACCGCAUAAAACCUAGCACCGCAUGGUGCAAGGUUGAAAGAUGGUUUCGGCUAUCACUUUAGGAUGGACCCGCGGUGCAUUAGUUAGUUGGUGAGGUAAAGGCUCACCAAGACCGUGAUGCAUAGCCGACCUGAGAGGGUAAUCGGCCACACUGGGACUGAGACACGGCCCAGACUCCUACGGGAGGCAGCAGUAGGGAAUCUUCCACAAUGGACGAAAGUCUGAUGGAGCAACGCCGCGUGAGUGAAGAAGGUUUUCGGAUCGUAAAACUCUGUUGUUGGAGAAGAACGUAUUUGAUAGUAACUGAUCAGGUAGUGACGGUAUCCAACCAGAAAGCCACGGCUAACUACGUGCCAGCAGCCGCGGUAAUACGUAGGUGGCAAGCGUUGUCCGGAUUUAUUGGGCGUAAAGCGAGCGCAGGCGGUUUCUUAAGUCUGAUGUGAAAGCCUUCGGCUCAACCGAAGAAGUGCAUCGGAAACUGGGAAACUUGAGUGCAGAAGAGGACAGUGGAACUCCAUGUGUAGCGGUGAAAUGCGUAGAUAUAUGGAAGAACACCAGUGGCGAAGGCGGCUGUCUGGUCUGUAACUGACGCUGAGGCUCGAAAGCAUGGGUAGCAAACAGGAUUAGAUACCCUGGUAGUCCAUGCCGUAAACGAUGAGUGCUAGGUGUUGGAGGGUUUCCGCCCUUCAGUGCCGCAGCUAACGCAUUAAGCACUCCGCCUGGAGAGUACGACCGCAAGGUUGAAACUCAGAGGAAUUGACGGGGGCCCGCACAAGCGGUGGAGCAUGUGGUUUAAUUCGAAGCAACGCGAAGAACCUUACCAGGUCUUGACAUCCUUUGACCACUCUAGAGAUAGAGCUUUCCCUUCGGGGACAAAGUGACAGGUGGUGCAU